AGAGUUUGAUCCUGGCUCAGGAUGAAUGUUGACAUCAUGCUUGACACAUGCAAUUCAGAUGGGAAGUGGUGUUUCCAGUGGUGGAUGGGUGAGUAACAUGUAAGAACCUACCCUUGGGAGGAGAACAACAACUGGAAACCAUUGCUAAUACCCCACAAGCUAAGGAGAAAAAGGAGAAAUCCGCCCAAGGAGGGGCUCACAUUUGAUUAGUUAGUUGGUGAGGCAAUGAAUUACCAAGGUGACGAUUAGUGGCUGGUCCGAGAGGAUGAUCAACCACACUGGGAUUGAGACAAGGCCCAGACUCCUACAUGAGAUAGCAAUGGGGAAUUUUCUGCAAUGGGAAAAAUCUUGACAAAGCAAUGCCGCGUGAAGGCAGAAGGCCCAUGGGUCAUGAACUUCUUUUCUCGGAGAAGAAGCAAUGGCGAUAUCUGAGGAAUAAGCAUCAACUAAUUCUGUACCAGCAGCCGCGGUAAGAUAGAGGAUGAAAGCGUUAUCCGAAAUGAUUGGGUGUAAAGCGUCUGUAGGUGGCUUUUCAAAUCUGUUGUCAAAUCCCAGGGCUCAACCCUAGACAAGUGGUGGAAACUACCAAGCUGGAGUACAGUAGGGGUAGAGGUAAUUUCUGGGGGAGCAAUGAAAUGCGUUGAGAUCGAAAAUAACACCAACGAAGAAAGCACUUUGUUGGACCAACACUGACACUAAGAGACAAAAUCUAGGGGAGCAAAUGGGAUUAGCUACCCCAGUAUUCCUAGCUGUAAAUGAUGUAUACUAAGUGUUGUGUGUAUCGACCCGCGUAGUGCUGUAGCUAACACGUUAAGUACCCCGCCUGGGGAGUAUGUUCGCAAGAAUGAAGCUCAAAGGAAUUGAUGGGGGCCCGCACAAGCAGUGGAGCAUUGUUAAUAUUAUGGUAGCUUCGGGAGGUAUGAACCUCUAUGAUGACCUAUGACGAGACUAGAAUCCUCCGGAAGGAAGCAAAGAAUUGAAGGAAACCCUAGAUAGGUUGUCGGCUGAACAAAUAUAUUUAUAUUGAAUUUAGUGAUGCCCAGAAGGAGAAGUCGGCCCAGUUAGACUGGCCAGGUCGAACCCAGUUAGAAUGGCCAGUCUACUAUAAAUACAGGGCGCCAGUUUCAUUAUUACACACUCUCAGAAUUGCAAAGCCAGUUGUGCGCACUGCAGUUGGCAGUUUUGUGCGCAGGUCUCUGGGGAAAGUGGUGCGCUAGUUUCUGGGUGGGAUCAUCUGUUCAGUUUAGUUUCUAUUCUUUUGCUUGGUGCAUUUAGCCUCUCUUGGCUAUAGAUUGCAG
rnacentral:rRNA from 1 species